rnacentral:rRNA from 1 species
CCAAGGCUAAAUACUCCUGACUGACCGAUAGUGAACCAGUACCGUGAGGGAAAGGCGAAAAGAACCCCGGCGAGGGGAGUGAAAAAGAACCUGAAACCGUGUACGUACAAGCAGUGGGAGCACGCUCAGGCGUGUGACUGCGUACCUUUUGUAUAAUGGGUCAGCGACUUAUAUUCUGUAGCAAGGUUAACCGAAUAGGGGAGCCGAAGGGAAACCGAGUCUUAACUGGGCGUUAAGUUGCAGGGUAUAGACCCGAAACCCGGUGAUCUAGCCAUGGGCAGGUUGAAGGUUGGGUAACACUAACUGGAGGACCGAACCGACUAAUGUUGAAAAAUUAGCGGAUGACUUGUGGCUGGGGGUGAAAGGCCAAUCAAACCGGGAGAUAGCUGGUUCUCCCCGAAAGCUAUUUAGGUAGCGCCUCGUGAAUUCAUCUCCGGGGGUAGAGCACUGUUUCGGCAAGGGGGUCAUCCCGACUUACCAACCCGAUGCAAACUGCGAAUACCGGAGAAUGUUAUCACGGGAGACACACGGCGGGUGCUAACGUCCGUCGUGAAGAGGGAAACAACCCAGACCGCCAGCUAAGGUCCCAAAGUCAUGGUUAAGUGGGAAACGAUGUGGGAAGGCCCAGACAGCCAGGAUGUUGGCUUAGAAGCAGCCAUCAUUUAAAGAAAGCGUAAUAGCUCACUGGUCGAGUCGGCCUGCGCGGAAGAUGUAACGGGGCUAAACCAUGCACCGAAGCUGCGGCAGCGACGCUUAUGCGUUGUUGGGUA